rnacentral:rRNA from 1 species
GAUCCUGGCUCAGGAUGAACGCUGGCGGCGUGCUUAACACAUGCAAGUCGAGCGAAGCACUUAGGAAAGAUUCUUCGGAUGAUUUCCUAUUUGACUGAGCGGCGGACGGGUGAGUAACGCGUGGGUAACCUGCCUCAUACAGGGGGAUAACAGUUAGAAAUGACUGCUAAUACCGCAUAAGACCACAGCACCGCAAUGGUGCAGGGGUAAAACUCCGGUGGUAUGAGAUGGACCCCGCGUU